GGCUAGCGGAAGUGGCGAAAGGGGCAGUUAUGCAUGGGUAACCUACCUUGGGGAUGGGCAUAGCCGUUCUAACGGACGGGUAAUUCCCAGAGAUUCAGCGGAAGGGCAUCCUUCUGCUGGGGAAUGAAUUUCGCCUCAAGAGGGGCUCAUGUGCUAUUAGCUAGUUGGUGGGGUAACGGCCUACCAAGGCAAAGAUGGCUAGCGGGUGUGAGAGCACGACCCGCGCCACUGGCACUGAGACACUGGCCAGACACCUACGGGUGGCUGCAGUCGAGGAUCUUCGUCAAUGGGCGCAAGCCUGAACGAGCGACGCCGCGUGCGCGAUGAAGGCCUUCGGGUUGUAAAGCGCGAAAGUGGGGAUAAAACCGAAAGGUUGAUAGAUCCACAGUAAGGACGGGCUAAGUUCGUGCUUUUCAGCCGCGGUAAGACGAACUGUCCAAACGUUGUUCGGAAUCACUGGGCUUAAAGGGCGCGUAGGCGGUCCAUCAAGUCAGGGGUGAAAUCCUGCAGCUUAACUGUAGAAGUGCCUUUGAUACUGAUGGUCUCGAGGGAGAUAGGGGUGUGCGGAA
rnacentral:rRNA from 1 species